GCGGCAUUAGCUCAGCUGGAUAGAGCAACGGCCUUCUAAGCCGUAGGUCACACGUUCGAGUCGUGUAUGCCGCA
rnacentral:tRNA from 2 species